CCUACGGGAGGCAGCAGUGAGGAAUAUUGGUCAAUGGACGAGAGUCUGAACCAGCCAAGUAGCGUGAAGGAUGACUGCCCUAUGGGUUGUAAACUUCUGUUAUAAAGGAAUAAAACGAGGCACGUGUGCCUUGUUGCAUGUACUUUAUGAAUAAGGAUCGGCUAACUCCGUGCCAGCAGCCGCGGUAAUACGGAGGAUCCGAGCGUUAUCCGGAGUUAUUGGGGUUACAGGGAGCGUAGAUGGGUUGUUAAGUCAGUGGUGAAAGUUGGCGGCUCAACCGGAAAAUUGCCUUUGAUACUGGCAGUCUUGCGUCCAGUUGAGGUAUGCGGACUUCGUGGUGUCGCGG
rnacentral:rRNA from 1 species